GUGGCUGGGCACAGCAGAAUCCACCUCCAUGGGGGAGGUCAAGAGUGGUUCAGAAGGUCUGGUUCAGAUACCACCUGUUCCAAGUCUCUGUGCAGGAAGGAGUCUAGCCUUCUCCGGAAUGUCACCGAAACGUAGGCUUCUGAGCCUGGCGUCUGACUCAGUGUGAUGUCUUUGAGAUGCAUCCAUGUUGGAACUCCAGGGCAGGGGUACCACAGUGGGCCUAUUCAUUCCUCUGCUGAUGGACCUGCGAUACUUCAAUGAGCAGUACUAGAAACAUGCUCUUGAUCCUGUGUCUGAUGAUUGCCUUAGAAUGAGGUAGAAUUGUUGAGGCAAACAACAUUUUUAUUCUCAAAUUGGAUCCACACUAUCCUCCAGAAAAGUUGUACCCAAUACCCAGCACCAAAAAAAGUGGGUGUUAAUUUCCCCACACUCUAUAAUGACAGUUUUUAUUCAUUUAAAAUGUUUAGCAAUGUUAGAAGUAAAUAAAUUCAUUGCUGCUUUAAUUUUGAAUUAUUUGGUUACCCUUGAGGAUAAAAAUCUUAUAUAAU